UACGUAGGGGGCAAGCGUUGUCCGGAAUCAUUGGGCGUAAAGAGCGUGUAGGCGGUUCGGUAAGUCCGACGUGAAAGUCCAGGGCUCAACCCUGGGAUGCCGGUCGAUACUGCCGGACUAGAGUUCGGAAGAGGCGAGUGGAAUUCCCGGUGUAGCGGUGAAAUGCGCAGAUAUCGGGAGGAACACCAAUGGCGAAGGCAGCUCGCUGGGACGUUACUGACGCUGAGACGCGAAAGCGUGGGGAGCAAACAGG
rnacentral:rRNA from 1 species